rnacentral:lncRNA from 1 species
CUUAAUUUUUCAUAGAUUUGGUUUCCACAAAUGCUUGUACCAGAGUGAAAUUGUAUAUGAAAAAUUAUUUAAAAAACCCAUUGGCUCCUAUAAAAUUUUCAGCUAGAUAUUUAUAUAGAAAAAGAUUUGCCCUUGAAAUGAGCCACCUAUAAGAAAAACUGAGAAGUAUAAUGAAAAGAACAGUCUAUGUAUUUUUUCAACUACUGCAAGAAAAUAUAGCCAGAUGGACAGUUUACAUGACCAUUUUGCAUUAAAUUAAAAGCCCCUAUACACACAAAUUCAUGAUACAGUGAAAUAUAGGUUUGGUUCAUUGGUUGAGCUUCAUGAUUUUCUUUGGAACUUUGAACUACUAUGCUCUUUCUCCAGAUAAUCAGAAGAUUGUGUUGGUUGGAGGGACCCCUGUGUCGGAUCAUUGCAAGAUCCUCUAAGCUCCAUUGCUGUUUCCAAAAAGGCCAGGACUAGUGGUUUCACCCCAUUUGCCACCUGGUCUGCCACCCAGUCUAGAUGGGCUCUGCCCAACUGUGGAAGUGAACAUUGACUUUCCCCACCUGGGGGAUUGCUUUUGCUCCUGAAGCAUGAGACCACAGGACCUGCUCUGUGGCCAGGCAUGUACAGUGUAGAUGGAGAGGGGAGUCAGCCUUAGUUUUGAUAAUGAGAGAUGAGUAUUAGUAGAUAAAUUCUUAUUUCUCCACUCUCAGAUGAACUAUCCUGAGAUACAAUAGUUCAUCUGGCCCUUCGGAAAUUAGUCUUGCAUGACUGAGCACCCUAUUGUGCUUGGUGUGACCAGCUCAGCAAUGCACCCAUGUAUAUACUCUCUUUCCUACCCUGACUCAUGCUCUUUCUACUCCACUCUUGUUUCUCGCGGGGCUACUUUCCCUAAUAGUACGGUAGCACAUACCCUUGCUUUCUGGGUAGCACAUACCUAGCAAUGCAAAAACUGGCUAACACAGCUUUCUUCUCCUUUUAGUAUAACAUCCAGAUGAUGCCAUUUUACUAACACAGGCUUCAUUGAUGAUUUCAUCAGUAUAUAGUGUAAAUGGAUUCAAUACAUAGAGCAUUUUUGUCAGGUAGCCCAUGGAUCCUCAGAGACACACAUUCAAAAGGUAUCCAUAACACUCAACAUUUCAGUAGCUUUACUGACUUUUGCUUUGGUUUGAACAAACAUAUUGCAUUUAAUGUGUCAGAUCUUGUGUACAGGAACCCAAUGACAGGUCCACUUAUUUACAAAGCUAACAUGCUCUGGGUAGCUAAGUAUGAAGCCACGGCGAUUUGUCAUUGUGAGGUGGGGAAGCAAAGCAACUUCAUUCUGUUUUUUUCUUCAUUAAAGAUUAUUGGAAUUCUCCAGGUUUGUGAGAUCACACCAGCUCCAUAGCCUGAAUCAAACUAUUAGAUACCACAUUAAUUUUGGACUAGCUUUGCCUAUGUAAAAAGGGGUUAAGAACUGUACCUAGCUGGAAUAUAUAUGUGAAAAACUCUCCCAAACAAAAGGAAUAAAGUAAUUUUUUGAGAGAGGAAAAUGUGUUAAUUAGGAUGGAGUUGAAAGGUACAUUAUGGGUCCUGGGAUUGAGCCCCACAUCGGGCUCCCUGCUUGGUGAAGAGUCUGCUUCUCCCUCUGCCCCUUCUCCCUCUGCUUAUGCUCUCAAAUAAAUAAAUAAAAUCUUAAAAAAAAAAAGAGAGAAAGAUACAUAAUGUAGAAAAGAGACAAAUAUAAAAGUGUACAUGUCAUUUGAGGAGAGAGCAAGAGGGCCCAGGAAAUAGUAUUCUGACCUGAUCUAGCCCAGGAAAAUAAUAAAUACUUGCUCCAUCUUACCUGGACUGCCUUCCUUCAUGAGCCAGGUAGGAUAUAAUCAGACAAUCUCCUUUAGAAAGUGUUUUUUUGGUUCAUGUCCUGGCCAAAUUGUGAUGAGCUUCCUCUGUGUUAAGGAGACUCCGCUGCUCUACUGAAAAUGGACAUCCUCUCAGUCUUAGCUGUUGGUGUGGACAUUUUGUUGGUUUUGCUUGCUGCUCUUCCUCCCCACUUUUUCUAGCAGCAAGACAUAGAAUUCGUAGAAUUUCCUUUGGGGAAUCACCUGUCAGUCCGUAGUUUAGAUAGGACU